rnacentral:rRNA from 1 species
GGGAUUGCCUUAGUAACGGCGAGUGAAGCGGCAACAGCUCAGAGUUGAAAUCUGGCCCCUUCGGGGUCCGAGUUGUAAUCUGUAGAGAGUGUUUCGGGCGAGGCCACGGUCUAAGUCUGUUGGAACACGGCGUCACAGAGGGUGAGAAUCCCGUAUGUGACCGUGGCUCGAGCCCAUGUGAAGCCUCUUCGACGAGUCGAGUUGUUUGGGAAUGCAGCUCAAAAUGGGUGGUAAAUUUCAUCUAAAGCUAAAUACGGGCUGGAGACCGAUAGCGCACAAGUAGAGUGAUCGAAAGAUGAAAAGCACUUUGGAAAGAGAGUGAAACAGUACGUGAAAUUGUUGAAAGGGAAGCGCUGGCAACCAGACCUGUCCGCGGGCGAUCAGCCGCUGUUCUCAGCGGUGCACUCGCCCCGAUCAGGCCAGCAUCGGUUUCGGCGGUCGGAUAAAGGCCUGGGGAACGUAGCUCCCUCUCGGGGGAGUGUUAUAGCCCCGGGCGCAAUGCGGCCAGCCGGGACCGAGGACCGCGCUUCGGCUAGGAUGCUGGCGUAAUGGUUGUCAGCGACCCGUCUUGAAACACGGACCAAGGAGUCUAACAUCUAUGCGAGUGUUUGGGUGUUAAACCCAUGCGCGUAAUGAAAGUGAACGGAGGUGAGAACCCGUUUCGGGCGCAUCAUCGACCGAUCCAGAUGUCUUCGGAUGGAUUUGAGUAUGAGCAUAGCUGUUGGGACCCGAAAGGUACAUCUACAAUCCCCAAGAAGUCACCGCGAAGGCAUGCUAACGUGUUUAACAGAUGGUGAACUAUGCCUGAAUAGGGUGAAGCCAGAGGAAACUCUGGUGGAGGCUCGCAGCGGUUCUGACGUGCAAAUCGAUCGUCAAAUUUGGGUAUAGGGGUACGUGUUCGGUCGGAGAGAUACCGUGAAUCAAGGACUAAUUAGUG